GGGACGGCUGGCGGCCCCCCGGGUCCUCCAACCUCUCUUCGCUGAGCAGGCCCGUUGAAGAAGAAACAAACCAACAGAGAAAACAGCAGCCACGAUAAACCCAAAUUGUAACACACUGAUUUAUUGACUCAGCCCAUAUUCAAGGAAUGGCUAGAAGACCAGAGCUCAAAGGAUUUAAUUGCACUUGGAUCCGAGGCUUUAUCAUAAAAGCUGAAGUCACGGGGUCACAAGUUUGUCCAGUUGUACAAACAGCAACAAGGUUUGGAUGGUCAUGUUUAUGUUCUGUCUGACAGUGGGACAGCAUGGCAGAUGCAAGCGCUCUUCCUCAGCCUACAGCUCAGAGGACAGAGAACGGAAAGCUUGGUGAGAGGCUUUUUUGUACCUCCAGGAAACCAUGGGAUUUGUCCUUAAGUCUUGGAAGAAUUUCUUGUGCUCAGGGAAGAUCCUCUACUCUGGAAUCUCAGGACUCUAGACGAUGCUUCACUAUGACUAGGAGAAGCAACUAGUCUUCUCCAUUGUAAGAAGAGCAGACGGUGAAGGGACAAAGAGUGACCGACGCGGCGGGCAGAACUGUGCCCAAAACUGGCUCACAGUUCAGGCUCAUGAAAACCCUGACAUCGGAACAUUUUCCCCCAGACAGGAAAACAUCACACAGUGACUGGUAAUCCAGACAAGGUGGUUUUUCACCAUUGAGAUACUUUCGGAAGAAAGUUUGAAUGCGUUGCCAGGCAUCCAACUGUGCCCUUGACUGAGCCCUUGGCUCACCUCCAGAGAGUAUCGGUCCACUCACUGCCGUAGGAAAGCAGCCAUCGAGAGGCACAGGUCACCGCCUUUGGAGAUCCCAAGAAGCCCAAUAUUUGGACCUUUCACCUAGGAGGAGAGAGAGAGAACAGUGUAGGGUUUAUAAGUGGAAAGCAGGCAAUGAUUUUGUAUUCUCCAAGAACCAUCCUCAAGUAUAACUUCUUUGUCUUCUACAACAAUCUGUAAGUUAAAAAGAAGCCCGUUCGGUCCCCAGCUCUGAAAAAAAGAACCAAAAAAAAAAAAAAAAAAAAAAAAAGAAGCCUGCUCUGCUAAUAAAGACAUUGAUUUCUGAG
rnacentral:sRNA from 1 species